UACGGGGGGAGCAAGCGUUGUUCGGAUUUACUGGGCGUAAAGGGCGCGUAGGCGGUCAGCACAAGUCAAUUGUGAAAUCUCCGAGCUUAACUCGGAAAGGUCAACUGAAACUGUGCGACUAGAGUGCGGAAGGGGCAACUGGAAUUCUUGGUGUAGCGGUGAAAUGCGCAGAUAUCAGGAGGAACACCGGUGGCGAAGGCGGAUCUCUGGGCCGAUACUGACGCUGAGGAGCGAAAGCGUGGGGAGCGAACAGG
rnacentral:rRNA from 1 species